rnacentral:rRNA from 1 species
ACGCGUAGAUCAUCUGCCCCUUACACUGACAUAACAGUUCUAACGGGACUGCUAAUAUCAGAUGAGUGAGUAAUCAUCAAAGUUUCGACGGAUAGGGAUGAGUCCGCGUCUGAUUAGGUAGUUGGUGAGGUAACGGCUCACCAAGCCGACGAUCAGUAACUGGUCUGAGAGGACGAACAGUCACACUGGAACUGAGACACGGUCCGGACUCCUACGGGAGGCAGCAGUGAGGAAUAUUGCACAAUGGGAGGAAUCCUGAUGCAGCGACGCCGCGUGCGGGAUGAAGGGGCUUAGCCUCGUAAACCGCUGUCGGAGGGGACGAAUGGUACAUUUGGUGUACUGAGACGGUACCCUCAAAGGAAGGAUCGGUAACUACGUGCCACAGCCGCGGUAAUACGUAGAUCCGACGUUGUCCGAAUUACUGGGUGUAGGGUGCGUAGCGGACUUUGUGGCGGUUCCAGAGGGUGGAAAAUCCCCACGGGGGGCUUUUAAACCCCGGUGGGGGGUUGGCCCUUUUGGAUAACGGGCAAGGUCCUUGGAAGUUGGCGAAAAAAAGGNUGGGUUGGGGAAUUCCCCUGGGUUGGUAACCAUUGGAAAAUU